GACGAACGCUGGCGGCGUGCUUAACACAUGCAAGUCGAACGGAAAGGCCCUGCUUUUGUGGGGUGCUCGAGUGGCGAACGGGUGAGUAACACGUGAGUAACCUGCCCUUGACUUUGGGAUAACUUCAGGAAACUGGGGCUAAUACCGGAUAGGAGCUCCUGCUGCAUGGUGGGGGUUGGAAAGUUUCGGCGGUUGGGGAUGGACUCGCGGCUUAUCAGCUUGUUGGUGGGGUAGUGGCUUACCAAGGCUUUGACGGGUAGCCGGCCUGAGAGGGUGACCGGCCACAUUGGGACUGGGAUACGGCCCAGACUCCUACGGGAGGCAGCAGUGGGGAAUAUUGCACAAUGGGCGGAAGCCUGAUGCAGCAACGCCGCGUGCGGGAUAACGGCCUUCGGGUUGUAAACCGCUUUCGCCUGUGACGAAGCGUGAGUGACGGUAAUGGGUAAAGAAGCACCGGCUAACUACGU
rnacentral:rRNA from 1 species